UGUUCCGGUAGGUAAGGCUACCGCAGGGAUAUGGACUGCUGCCGCGAAAUGGUGGAGACACCACGAGAGGGUUUGAACAGGCGAUAUCGAAACCAAGGUAUCAUCUAAUGCAGUUUCACCGCCCUGUGAUGCUAAAGCUUGU
rnacentral:sRNA from 1 species